rnacentral:rRNA from 1 species
CUUUGCUCCUGAUGUUAGCGGCGGACGGGUGAGUAACACGUGGGUAACCUGCCUGUAAGACUGGGAUAACUCCGGGAAACCGGGGCUAAUACCGGAUGCUUGUUUGAACCGCAUGGUUCAAACAUAAAAGGUGGCUUCGGCUACCACUUACAGAUGGACCCGCGGCGCAUUAGCUAGUUGGUGAGGUAAUGGCUCACCAAGGCAACGAUGCGUAGCCGACCUGAGAGGGUGAUCGGCCACACUGGGACUGAGACACGGCCCAGACUCCUACGGGAGGCAGCAGUAGGGAAUCUUCCGCAAUGGACGAAAGUCUGACGGAGCAACGCCGCGUGAGUGAUGAAGGUUUUCGGAUCGUAAAGCUCUGUUGUUAGGGAAGAACAAGUACCGUUCGAAUAGGGCGGUACCUUGACGGUACCUAACCAGAAAGCCACGGCUAACUACGUGCCAGCAGCCGCGGUAAUACGUAGGUGGCAAGCGUUGUCCGGAAUUAUUGGGCGUAAAGGGCUCGCAGGCGGUUCCUUAAGUCUGAUGUGAAAGCCCCCGGCUCAACCGGGGAGGGUCAUUGGAAACUGGGGAACUUGAGUGCAGAAGAGGAGAGUGGAAUUCCACGUGUAGCGGUGAAAUGCGUAGAGAUGUGGAGGAACACCAGUGGCGAAGGCGACUCUCUGGUCUGUAACUGACGCUGAGGAGCGAAAGCGUGGGGAGCGAACAGGAUUAGAUACCCUGGUAGUCCACGCCGUAAACGAUGAGUGCUAAGUGUUAGGGGGUUUCCGCCCCUUAGUGCUGCAGCUAACGCAUUAAGCACUCCGCCUGGGGAGUACGGUCGCAAGACUGAAACUCAAAGGAAUUGACGGGGGCCCGCACAAGCGGUGGAGCAUGUGGUUUAAUUCGAAGCAACGCGAAGAACCUUACCAGGUCUUGACAUCCUCUGACAAUCCUAGAGAUAGGACGUCCCCUUCGGGGGCAGAGUGACAGGUGGUGCAUGGUUGUCGUCAGCUCGUGUCGUGAGAUGUUGGGUUAAGUCCCGCAACGAGCGCAACCCUUGAUCUUAGUUGCCAGCAUUCAGUUGGGCACUCUAAGGUGACUGCCGGUGACAAACCGGAGGAAGGUGGGGAUGACGUCAAAUCAUCAUGCCCCUUAUGACCUGGGCUACACACGUGCUACAAUGGACAGAACAAAGGGCAGCGAAACCGCGAGGUUAAGCCAAUCCCACAAAUCUGUUCUCAGUUCGGAUCGCAGUUUGCAACUCGACUGCGUGAAGCUGGAAUCGCUAGUAAUCGCGAUCAGCAGC